rnacentral:lncRNA from 1 species
UAGGUCAUAAAAUAAUUUACAGCUUCCACCUUGCUCUUAAAUUGCCCACCAUGGGGGAAGUCAGUUGACAUGUUGUAAGGAUACUCGCAGGCUUUGUAGAGUCCCGCAUGGGGAGCAACUGAGGCCUUGAAUUGCCAGGCAUGUAAGUGAGCCACUUAAGAAGCAAAUCGUCCCACCUCAGUCAAGUCUUCAGAAAUGGCAGCCCUGGCUGACUCUUUCUGUUUUUUUUUAGACAGAGUCUCGCUCUGUCGCCCAGGCUGGAGUGCAGUGGUACGAUCUCAGCUCACUGCAAC